GCAGUAGCUUAGUGGUACAGCAUCUGCUCAACAUGCAGAAGGUCUCAGGUUUAAUCCUUGGUAUCUCCA